rfam:Streptomyces curacoi strain DSM 40107 genomic scaffold PRJNA299217_s007, whole genome shotgun sequence.
AGCUCAUCCAGAGGGGCAGAGGGAAACGGCCCGAUGAAGCCCCGGCAACCCUCCAGUCGGCUCUCGUAGCGAUCACUGUCGAUCGUCUCCGCGGGGCUCCCGGCUAGGGAAGGUGCCAAAUCCGUCUCACGGCGAGAUGCGUCGUGAGGAAGAUGAGGA